rnacentral:rRNA from 1 species
UAGGGAAUCUUCCACAAUGGACGCAAGUCUGAUGGAGCAACGCCGCGUGAGUGAAGAAGGUUUUCGGACCGUAAAGCUCUGUUGUUGGUGAAGAAGGAUAGAGGUAGUAACUGGCCUUUAUUUGACGGUAAUCAACCAGAAAGUCACGGCUAACUACGUGCCAGCAGCCGCGGUAAUACGUAGGUGGCAAGCGUUGUCCGGAUUUAUUGGGCGUAAAGCGAGCGCAGGCGGAAGAAUAAGUCUGAUGUGAAAGCCCUCGGCUUAACCGAGGAAUUGCAUCGGAAACUGUUUUCUUGAGUGCAGAAGAGGAGAGUAGAACUCCAUGUGUAGCGGUGGAAUGCGUAGAUAUAUGGAAGAAUACCAGUGGCGAAGGCGGCUCUCUGGUCUGCAACUGACGCUGAGGCUCGAAAGCAUGGGUAGCGAACAGGAUUAGAUACCCUGGUAGUCCAUGCCGUAAACGAUGAGUGCUAAGUGUUGGAGGGUUUCCGCCCUUCAGUGCUGCAGUUAACGCAUUAAGCACUCCGCCU